AUACGGAGGACGCGAGCGUUAUCCGGAUUCAUUGGGUUUAAAGGGUGCGCAGGCGGCCGUGCAAGUCAGCGGUGAAAGCCCGGGGCUCAACCCCGGAAGUGCCGUUGAUACUGCAUGGCUGGAAUGCGGUCGAGGCGGGCGGAACCUGGGGGGUAGGGGUGAAAUGCGUAGAUAUGCCACAGAACACCGACAGCGGAGGCAGCUCGCCAGGCCUGCAUUGACGCUCGGGCACGAAAGCGUGGGGAUCGAACAGGAUUAGAUACCCUGGUAGUCCACGCCGUAAACGAUGGGCGCUCGUCGUCGGCGGCAGACAGUCGGCGGCCAAGCGAAAGCGAUAAGCGCCCCACCUGGGGAGUACGGUCGCAAGGCUGAAACUUAAAGGAAUUGACGGG
rnacentral:rRNA from 1 species